rnacentral:lncRNA from 1 species
UGCGAUUGUAACAUCCAAUUGAAGCGGUUGAUGAGAAGAGUUAGUUCCCUUUUUCACUACGUAAGCCUCGGGAUGGGCAGCACUUCUGUAUGUGAUUGUAGUAUGUCAUGUCAUCUCUCCUCCUUGCACCGAAAAGUCCAUUUUUUUGAAAUUCCAAUAAAAUGAGAAAAUGAGAGACCCAAAGUAAUGAGAAAAUGACUUCGAAAUUCACUAACUACAACAACGCGC